CCGGUUUUUUAAAACCGGUGCGAAAAAAAGUAGGCGGGAUUGAGGGAAAGAGUAUUCGCACCUGUUCUAACCAAACCGGUGCAAAAAAUGAGUUAAUCGCACCGAUUCGGUUCGAACCGGUGUGAAUGCUAUUGUAAAAUAAAAAAUAAAAAAUAAAUAAAAAACCAGUCUAUAUAAUCUUCUUUCUUUCUCUUUCCUCGAUCUCUCCUCCACUCUCAUCUGCCUCUACCUCCUUCUCUCUCCUUCAGUUGAACAAUGGAGGUUCAGCACUUUCCUCAAACUCCUUCUCCCUCCUUCGAUCUCUUUCUCCACAACCACCACUUUCCCUUUCCUUUCCUCUCUCCUUCUCCAUAACUGCGCCGCAAGCAACGCCGCUCUCCUUCUCCUUCUCAGUCCGAAAUCGGCGUCAUUAAAACCAAGCACAACCACCAUCGCCGCCGCCGUCAAUUUGAACCAAAUACAACAACAACAACAACAACAACAACAACAAACUUGAAUCAAUUAUCGAUUCAAAAAUCACAAAUUCGAGUGGUGAUGGGUUCGUGGGUGCAAUGGUGGUUUCGUGCGGUGGUGGUUUCAUGGGUCGUGAGCUGCAGCUACGAGUCUAGUGGUGGUGGUUUUGCAUUAUAUUCACGAUUUGGUUGGAUGUUCUUUUCUUUUUUCUGGGUUCUUGUUGUUUUUUUUCUGGAAUCUUCCAAGCCUUGGCUGAGAAGUUGCGCUCUGACUACGAGUUUGGUCACACUACUGAUGCAAAGCUCCUACCAAGGAGUGAGUCAUCUGUGAAGAAGCCCACCCUUAGGUUGUUCAAGCCUUUUGACGAGCUUGUGGUUGACUCUCAGGAUUUUAAUGCGGAAGCUCUGGAGAAGUUUGUUGAAGAAUCCAGUAUUCCUACUAUGACUAUCUUUAGCAAGGACCAAGCACACCAUCCCUAUGUUAUUAAGUUUUUUAACUCUCUCAAUGCCAAGUAUCUUGGAGUUAAAGAGGAUCAAGUACCUCUCAUUAUUGUCUAGACCAACGAUGGGAAGAAAUAUGUUAAAGAUAAAGUGGAGGCUGAUCAAAUUGCAUCAUGGAUCCAGGAUUACAGUGAAGGCAAGGUGGCCGCACACAAGAAGUCAGAACCCCUCCCCGAAAGCAAUUAAUGAUGAACCUGUGAAGGUGGUUGUUGCAGACACCCUUCAGGAUAUAGUUUUCAACUCUGGAAAAAAUGUGCGUGGCCUAGCCAUGUUGCCUGCUGACAAGACACCCGCCAAGUCAGCCGCUGAAAUCCGCAAGGCUAAUGCGGAGAAGAAGCUUGCUGCCCAGGCGGCAAAAAAUAAGGUAUCUUGCUUUUUCCUUCUUUUUACUUCGAUUUCUGUUUGACUUCUAUGCCGCCUGAUCUCUGUGCUUGUUUUUUCAGGAUGGGAACAAGGUGCGCCACUCCGUUUCAAAAUUAAUAAGGCCUCGGCCUAGAGAGGAGCCGCCAAUCCACAACAAGGCGAGGAAGACUUCCUCCUCGACAGUACCCAGUCGUUAGACGGUUGGAGGUAAAUCUGUCAAAAACCUCGGCCUGGGGUUUGAUCUAACGGCAAGGCAGCCGGAUGUUCCUGAGAAGGAGACAAUGCCGCCUAGGGCAUCCGGCGCUUCUGUACCGGCUGAGGGCAGUCGCGAUCCUCUGCCUACAUCCCAAGAUACUAUUGACCCCUUCAACCCUUCUUUGCUUGGCAAGCCUAUGCGGGUCAAGUCGCACUCCCAGCUCCAACCAGAAGACUCUUCUGGCAGCCGGAAGUCGAUAUGAGGGAAGUAUGUUGCCUUCUCACCAUCUUUUUCUGGUGCAGAUCACUCCCCUCGCUGGCCGGAUGUACAGAAAUACGCCCGGGCCAUGCUGAAGGCCAUACCCAAAGAAGAGAAGGAGGCGAUCCCAGUGAUCCAAACCUUCAAUGCCGACCAGGUUCUGGCCGGACUGUCUGAGGUACAUAAUCUUCCAAUUCGUUUAAGUUGUUAUGCCACCUGACCCCUUCUGACUCCGCUUGGGCUUUUGUAGUCAAUGCUGCGCGUGGAGGGGCUCAAGAAAGCCUACGCCCGCAAGUGUCAGGAGGUAAGACGGGCUAAACGGGAUGCGUCUGACGCCCAUAACGUUGUCCAGUAUUCCAUGAUUAUGCAUGAAUUGAAAACUAAAAGCAUAAUCAUACAACAGGCGGAUUCCAUCAAGACGCUCCAGAGGGCGCUUAAUGAAGCCGACACCAAGCUCCACAAUCUUAAAGCGGAGAAGGAGAAUGCCGAGGCGGAGCUGAAGAAGGUGACUGACUCUUCCAAACUUCUGGAGUUGGCCAGGAAGGAGAAUACAACUCUCCUUGCUGACAACGUCCGCCUGAAGAAGGAGACGGUCAAGGCUAGCGACAACUUUAAAUCUACGCUGGAGGCUGAACAGAGUCGGCUCAUUGAAGAGAAUGAGCAAGAUUGCGUCACUCGAAUGCAAAAGGCUUGGUCCCUGGUUCAUCCGGACACGGAGUAUACCGUCUGGGAGCUUGCCUAUAAAUACGCUGAUCUUGCCAUUGAGACCGAGGAAUCGCAGCAGCCGGCUCUAGAGUCUUAUGAGGAGUGGGUCCCGAAGCAGAUCAAGGCCAUGCAGGCGGAGAUCGACUCAGAAGGGGGAGAGAUCAACGGACGUGCCAUGUGUCUAGCUCCUUGGGUGGGUUUCCGAAUGCUUAAUUGAAGAAUUGCGGAAACUAUCUGGGUAGGUCGACGUAGAAGCCGACUUAGACAUGCUCUGACUUCUCUUCUCCUGGAUUAACAACCGGGCAUCAGAGAAGGUCUUUUUUGACCCAUCCGGUUGUAUGUGCCGGAUGGCCUUUCGCUGCCCUGAUUCAGGGAAACGAAUUUUUGAGAGAUUGAUCAGGGCCCAUCCGCCCCCUUAGGCUUCGGGUGAGGAGUAGGCACCCGGUCUUUAAUUGGCUUCUUCAUGGAAGCCUUCUUAGCCGACUGGCCCUUGCUGGAGCCAGCUGACUUCUUGAUGAUGUCCUUGAUUUCCCCUUUGAAACUAGUCAUGAGGUUCAUGAGCUCGUCUCUGGUGACGGGGGCAGCCCCCUCCGCCGCCUGGGGUUGUCCAGGGUGCUUGCCGCCUGGGUUGUUGGGGCAAGCUUUGUCUUGACCCCGUUCCUUCCUUUCUUUAGAAUGGGUGCGCCUAGAACGGAAUGAACCGUCUGGGGCCAUAUAGGUUUCGACAUAGUAGUCGUCACCGCUUCCACUUUCGUGGUCCGUAUGGACCUCAGGGUAAGCUAGGGGCCGGCUGCCCUCUACAGUUGGUACAUUUUCAGAUGUCAUCUCAGUGGUACUCUCCCCACGGACGGCGCCAAAUGUUUCGGGGUUUUCUAAGGUGUCCUACGGGAGAGUUACAACACCGGGAAUGCACGUCUGACUUCUGUACCUACAAAACCACGAAACUCCGGUUGGGUGGAGUUCUGCCUCCGAAGGUCAAGUUAGUAUGAUUCCGAAUGAGAUUAUGUGCGGAAAGUAAACGGGUAUUUCUCUCAGAUUCCGGGAGAUUCCACAAUUAAUAUUGCUCGGGUUUGGUGUGAGUAUUUAUGAAUGCCAAUAAAUGAGGUAGAUUCCUCUAUUUAUAGCAGAUGAGGAUCUGCUCCCCCAUUGAGGGUACAAUGCCACGUGGCAUCCAUUGGUUGGAUGCCCAUGGUGCAAAAGGAGGUGACACGUGUCAGGCCCUUAUUGGGCCACGUGUCUAGGGUAAUUUUUACCCUAAACAAAGCCCAUGUUUAUUUUUACAUGUAUUUAUCAUAUUUAAUUACUACAGUUCUUUUGGAGUUUUACGCACCUGGUGUGGACAUUGCCAAAAGUUGGCUCCGAUCUUGGAUGAAGUUGUCGUUUCCUUUGAAAAUGAAAAAAGAUAUUAUCAUUGCCAAGCUUGUAAGAAUAUCUCCUUGUCACUUGUUACUUGAUGUAGUCUUCAUGAUAGCUAUCAUGCAAACCAAGAGAACAAAUUGAAGUGCAUCACAUAUUAUAUAGGAGGACUUGUUCUGACCAAGGGAUGUGUCCAGGUAGAACCUUCCUUCUUUAAAUGAUUACCUUUCAUUCAGUACUACAGCUCUACAGGGAAUAUUCUGCAUGACAUUGCAUAUGACACUGCUUUCCUAAACCUUUUGUUUCUCCUUCCCUACCCUUGAUUACUACUACGUGUUUUAAUAUUUGUUUGAUAUAUAUUAGGUGUGGUGCACAGAAUGCUAUGAGCCCAUGACCAACUGUUUUCUCCCCUCUUUUUUUCGUGGGGAUUGGGGAAAAUACUACGUGUUUUAAUAUUUGUUUGCUGAGGUUGGUGACAUAACUUCUAAUUUUGGCAGGGAGGUUAACAAGGCAAGUUAUGGGAGUCACUGAAGAUGGUACUGCAAAAGGGUUUUUACCGAUCGAGUGAGGAAUUGUUUGCAGUCCACUACCCUGCAUAUCCUUCAUCCAUGUCGUGUGCUGUUGAAAGCAGGCAGCCCUAGAGCAAGCAAGUGAUGAUUCUAGUUUUGUUUAAUAAGAAAUUUUCUCAAGCUCGAGCUCACCUACAUUGAAUCUAGACAUGACAUUUCCCAGCAGUCAUUCAACUGUUAAUGAACUUCAAAGGAGCUUGAUGUCACGCGCUGACUAAUUCCCUUAGUCUUUUGCACGCGGCCUACUAGAGUCACCACCCGUUAGACUACUAGUCAAGGCUCCCAAUUGCUUAGCAAAGCUAAAUAUUGAUGUUGUUAGUUAAGUGUGGUUUGCUUGGAAAGCACAAGUGAGAAUAUAUGAGAAGGCUUUAAGGAAAAAGGCUUUUUAUAAAUGCUUGAGAGAAUACAAGUGUUUUCGUACCUACCAAGAAUGGGUGGGAGGUUUCCUAUUUAUAGGCACCAUCCCUUUCUAGAGUGUUCUAAUCUAGAUGCUUCCUAACCUCCUCAAAUGGAAGGUUCUAGGGAACUCUAUAUACUUUCUGUUUACAUAGGCUUAUGUACAAUGUUCUAGAACCAUCUACAAAGUUCUAGCAUCUUAAGUUUGUACAAGUUGUCCCUAGAGGCUUCUAGAGACCUCCGGAUGCUCCACGAACCUCUUCGUGCAUUCUGGAAGGUUCUGGGCCUCAUCUUCAAAUUCUGGCUGCACCAUCAUCUUUAUUGGGCCCAAAAAUGAUGGGCCAUCAAGUUUGGGCUCAUUUGGAGUCCAUUAAGCCCGGCCCAUGGCCCAUUAUUGUGUUACUGUCAUGGGCGUGUUCACUAGAGUAAAUGGCAGGGUGCUAAAUAAAGCUCUAUAGGGGGAAGGGUGUUCUGGCCUUGCUAGCCAUGCACCAAGGGCAUUCCCCCUGGCCACGAUUAUAACUUGCUGCCUAGUGGCUCUAGUGAGGGGUGGGAAUAUGUGAGUCGUGACAUGCUCCCCCACCCAAGUCUUGACGUCCCCGUCAAGGCCGCCCUUCGAACUUAGCUAUCUUGUCUUGGAAUUGCCAUAGGUCUCCUUCUUUUUCCCACGUUGCUUCACUAUCCGGGAGACCCUUCCAACGAACAAGAUACUCGUUGUAGCUUGGAACCCCUCUCUUUCUUAUGAGCCUCUUGGCCUCAAUUGUCUCGAUGUCCCUCUCGAAGGAUGCCACCACAGCCGUGGGCGCCCUUUGUGACUCGCCCCUUUUUGGAUCUUCAUGGUCAGCUUGAUAGGGCUUGAGCAUGCUCACGUGGAACACCGGAUGAAUCUUCAACCUUGGGGGUAACUCAAGCUUAUAUGAUGUUUUCCCAACCUUCCUUAGUACGGGGAAUGGUCCCUCAUACUUUCGCACAAGACCCUUGUGCACCUGUCGGAAGACCUUGAAUUGUUGAGGUAGCAGCUUCACCAUCACCAAAUCUCCUACUUGGAACUCCAUUGGGCGCCUAUGCUUGUCAGCCCACUUCUUCAUCUUCUUGGCCGCCUUGUCCAAGUAAGCCUUGGAUAUAUCGAGUUGCUCGUGCCACCCUCGUGCAAGCUUGUAAGCAGCUGGGCUGCUCCCUGUGUACCCCGAGGCGAUCCCUUGUGGAGUCAAGGGUUGCUGUCCCAUGACUAUUUCGAAGGCACUUUUGCCCGUAGCCUCGGAUCUUUGUAGGUUGUAGGAGAAUUGGGCAACAUCCAUGUACUUAGCCCAAUCUCGCUGAUUGGCACUCACAUAGUGCCUGAGAUAUAGCUCCAGCAAAGCAUUCACCCUUUCGGUUUGCCCAUCCGUCUGGGGGUGAAAGCUUGUUGAGAAGUGGAGUCCGGACCCAAGCAACUUGAAUAAUUCUGUCCAAAAUUUUGCUGUGAACCUUGGGUCUCGAUCACUGAUGAUGUUCCGAGGCAAGCCCCAAUAUUUUACCACGUUCUUGAAGAAUAGAUGGGCUGCUUGCUCGGCUGUGCAAUCCCUUGGUGCCGGUAUGAACGUGCCAUAUUUGGAAAAGCGAUCGACAACCACCAUGAUCGAGCCAUACCCAUCUGACUUGGGUAGGGCUGAAAUGAAAUCCAUUGAUACGCUCUCCCAUGGCCCUUCAGGUAUAGGAAGUGGCUCAAGUAACCCAGCCGGCACGCGUUGUUCGACCUUGUCUUGUUGGCACACAAGACAAGUCUUUACAUAGGCCUCCACAUCUUGCCCCAUGUGUGGCCAAUAGUAAUUCUUCUCCAGGAGUGCUAACGUGCGUAAGACGCCAGGAUGACCAGCCCACUUAGAGUCAUGGCACUCUUUCAUGAUAUCUCGCCUAAGAUUAUCCCACUUAGGCACGAAUAGUCGCCGUCCAGCAGUAUAGAGGAUCCCAUCCUCUAUCCAAAACCUUCGGGUUUUGCGUUCCUUGACUAGGUUCAGGAGCCCCUUAGCUAUAGGAUCUUGAGUAAGACCAUCCUUGAUUCUGUCCAAGAUGGUGCUUGUGGCGCGACUAAUAGCUGCAAAGGUGGCCUUGCGGCUUAGAGCAUCGGCGACAAAGUUUACUUUGCCUGGCUUAUACACCAUGACAUAGUCAAAUUCGGCCAGGAAGUCUUGCCAACGAGCUUGCUUGGGGCUUAAUUUCUUCUGAUUUUGGAAGUAGCUUGUCGCAACGUUGUCGGUGUAGAUGGUGAACCGACUCCCGAGCAGGUAGUGCCUCCAUAUCCGCAAGCAAUGAAUUAUGCCCGUCAUCUCCUUGUCAUGGACAGGAUAUCUCCUCUCCGUAUCGUUUAGCUUGCGAGAUUCGUAAGCAAUGGGAUGCCCCUCUUGCAUAAGGACCCCACCUAUGGCAUAAUCGGAGGCAUCCGUAUCAGCUCGAAUGGCUUUGAGUAAUCAGGCAAGGCUAGGACGGGUUCUUCCGUGACUGCCUUCUUCAACCCAUCGAAUGCCCUUUGACACUUCUCGUCCCAACACCACUGGGCCUUCUUCUUGAGCAAAUCGGUCAAAGGUGCUGCCUUAGCCGAGUAGCUUCGAAUGAACCGCCGAUAGUAGUUGGCAAGGCCAAGGAAGGAUCGUAGCUCGGACACAUUCCUUGGCUCACCCCAUUCUUGGAUGGAGCGCACCUUGUCAUGCUCCAUCAUAAUCUUGCCAGCCUUGAUAUGGUGCCCUAAAAAAGACACCUCAUCUUGGGCAAACGAGCAUUUCUCCUUUUUGACAUAUAGCUCGUUCUCCCGUAGAACCUUGAACACUUGCGCCAGAUGCUGCUCAUGUUCCUGCAAAGUGUUACUGUACACCACAAUGUCGUCUAAAUAGACGACCACAAACUUAUCCAAGAAAGGCUGGAAGAUCUUAUUCAUCAAAGUGCAAAAGGUUGCCGGGGCGUUGGUAAGGCCGAAGGGCAUUACCAAGAACUCAAAGGACCCAUAGCGAGUUACGCAUGCCGUUUUUUGCUCAUCCCCUUCGGCGAUGCGUACUUGCCAGUACCCCGACCUCAGAUCAAGUUUAGAAAAGUACCUGGCGUUCCCUAAUCGAUCGAACAAAUCUGCCACAAGGGGAAUGGGGUAUUUGUUCUUCACAGUGAUCUUGUUCAACGCCCGGUAGUCUAUACACAUGCGCAGGCUUCCAUCAUGUUUGCGCUGGAACAAAACAGGUGCCCCGUAUGGUGCCUUAGAUGGUUGAAUAAAACCAGCAUCGAGCAAUUCCUUCAACUGCUUCCGUAGCUCUUCAAGCUCCGGUGGGGCCAUCCUGUAAGGUGCCAUGGCUGGAGGCCUUGCCUCAGGCUCCAGCUUGAUCUCAUGAUCUACUUCCCUUCUAGGGGGAAGCUUUUUGGGUAGCUCGGGCGGCAUGACAUCUUCAAACUCUUUGAGAACCCUGACAAUUUCCACGGGGAUCUCUUGUUGCACCUCGAGUUUCUCCUCAACCAUUGUUGCCAAAAAGGUUGUCUGCUUCCUCUUGAUGCCCCUGUCGAGUAGUAUUGCGGACAACAUCUUGGCUUCGGCUUCCUCCCGAGCAACGGGGACUGACCAUGUUCCUUGUCCUCUCUUGAUGGUCAGCGAGCCAUCCUCUUCGAAUGUGAAAGGCCUUACUGAGUCCAUAAACUCCAAUCCUAGCACCAAGUUGAAAUCAUCCAUGUCGACGACUGUGAAAUCUACUGCCCCCUCCCAUUCACUCAACUGGAGUGGGACCCCACGAGCCACACCGUGGAUGGGUGUUUGAAUAGUGUUCACCGUUUUCAAAGAACCCUUCUUCUUGGUGAACUUAAGGCCCAACCUUGUGGCUUCUUUGAGCGUCACAAAGUUGUGGGUAGCACCAGUGUCGACUAAUGCUUUUGAGGCCUUUCCCCCAACUAUGGCUUCAACAAACAUAAGAUAUGGCUUUUUGUCCCGGGGUAGCGUACAUACCUUGGCCAGGUCCUUGUCCUCCUUGGGCUCCUCCACCGUAGCCUUCACACUGUUGCACAGGCGCAACGUCCCCAUGUGUGCUUCGUCCCCUGACGAUUCCCCAGGUGAUGUAGCCAUGAUAGCAUUGAGCUUCCUCUUUUGUGGGCACUCCCUAGCCCAGUGAUCACCCCCGCAUAGGAAGCAAUCUAAGCGCUUUGACUUUCGGUCUGAGUGGAACUUCUCCUUGUCCUUCUUCUCAGACGAUUUGCUACCGUUGUGGCUUCGUUCGGUGGGCUUGGCUCCCCCACCUUUCCCCUUGUUGCCGCUGCUCUUGUUGCCUCUCUCCUUCCUUGGUUCUUGCUUGAACUCGUACAAGGACUCGGCAGCAGCGAUGGCAUCAGCGAGAGUUUGGACGUUUCGGCGCUUCAACUCUUGCUCAGCCCAUCGUUGUAGACCAUCCAUAAAGUAGAGAAGUUGAGUCUUCUCCGGCAUCUCGGUCACCUCUAGCAUGAGUGAAGUGAACUGUUUGAUGUACUCCUUGACUGACCCCGUAUGCUUCAACCCACGCAGCUUCUUUAUGGCUACCUCUUCCGAGUUUUCUGGAUAGAAUUGCUUCUUGAGGUCGCUCUUGAACUCGUCCCAGGUGUUGAGUUGGACAACACCCUUCUUGAUGUCGGUCUCGCGCCUUCUCCACCAAAGGAUAGCAUCGUCCCCCAAGUACAUGGUAGCGGUGUUGAUUUUUGAUGCAUCGUCGUCCAAAUGCAUCGCGCCAAAGUACUUCUCGAUGCUCCACAGGAAGUUCUCAAGCUCCCCGACUCAAGACCCUUGACCCUAGCCUCAACAUCAUCGUACUGUUCGUUGAGGUCAUUAAUGCUAUCUCGUUGUUCCGAGAUGGCCUGGACCAUACUAACCAUCUUCUCCUCAAGCAAGGUGGUACGGCUAGCUUUCUUACUGGUGUUUCCCUCUUCCACAACGGAUGCAUGGGCAUCGUCCUUUUGUGCCAUACUCCUGACUUCCGCACUUAUCUUCUAACAACAACUAGCACACAAACGCAACAGACCGCCCCUUCGAUCGACGUUGCUCUGAUACCACGUGUCACGCGCUGACUAAUUCCCUUAGUCUUUUGCACGCGGCCUACUAGAGUCACCACCCGUUAGACUACUAGUCAAGGCUCCCAAUUGCUUAGCAAAGCUAAAUAUUGAUGUUGUUAGUUAAGUGUGGUUUGCUUGGAAAGCACAAGUGAGAAUAUAUGAGAAGGCUUUAAGGAAAAAGGCUUUUUAUAAAUGCUUGAGAGAAUACAAGUGUUUUCGUACCUACCAAGAAUGGGUGGGAGGUUUCCUAUUUAUAGGCACCAUCCCUUUCUAGAGUGUUCUAAUCUAGAUGCUUCCUAACCUCCUCAAAUGGAAGGUUCUAGGGAACUCUAUAUACUUUCUGUUUACAUAGGCUUAUGUACAAUGUUCUAGAACCAUCUACAAAGUUCUAGCAUCUUAAGUUUGUACAAGUUGUCCCUAGAGGCUUCUAGAGACCUCCGGAUGCUCCACGAACCUCUUCGUGCAUUCUGGAAGGUUCUGGGCCUCAUCUUCAAAUUCUGGCUGCACCAUCAUCUUUAUUGGGCCCAAAAAUGAUGGGCCAUCAAGUUUGGGCUCAUUUGGAGUCCAUUAAGCCCGGCCCAUGGCCCAUUAUUGUGUUA